rnacentral:rRNA from 1 species
CACGUAGGGCGCAAGCGUUGUUCGGAGUUACUGGGCGUAAAGCGUGCGUAGGCGGUGUCUUAAGUUUGUUGUGAAAUCUCCCGGCUUAACCGGGAGGGUGCGGCGAAUACUGAGAUGCUGGAGUGCCGGAGAGGUAAGCGGAAUUCCUGGUGGUAGCGGUGAAAUGCGUAGAGUAUCAGGAGGAACACCUGCGGUGUAGACGGCUUACUGGACGGUAACUGACGCUGAGGCACGAAAGCGUGGGUAGCAAACAGG